CCAGACUCCUACGGGAGGCAGCAGUGGGGAAUAUUGCACAAUGGGGGAAACCCUGAUGCAGCGACGCCGCGUGAGCGAUGAAGUAUUUCGGUAUGUAAAGCUCUAUCAGCAGGGAAGAAAAUGACGGUACCUGACUAAGAAGCCCCGGCUAACUACGUGCCAGCAGCCGCGGUAAUACGUAGGGGGCAAGCGUUAUCCGGAUUUACUGGGUGUAAAGGGAGCGUAGACGGCUGUGCAAGCCAGAUGUGAAAGCCCGGGGCUCAACCCCGGGACUGCAUUUGGAACUGUUAAGCUUGAGUGCAGGAGAGGUAAGCGGAAUUCCUAGUGUAGCGGUGAAAUGCGUAGAUAUUAGGAGGAACACCAGUGGCGAAGGCGGCUUACUGGACUGUAACUGACACUGAGGCUCGAAAGCGUGGGGAGCAAACAGGAUUAGAUACCCCUGUAU
rnacentral:rRNA from 1 species